rnacentral:rRNA from 1 species
AUGAUGUUCUUCUCCUCCUACAUACCCUAUGUCCAGCCCAGGCGAGUGGCCGCCAUUGGUGAUGCAGUUUACUUCACGAUUUCGCGGUCCGCUGCCAUCGCCAAGUAUGAUUGGGGCGAGAAUCGCCUGUCUGUGAUUGACCCGCCACCACCAGAUACAGAAGUGUACGGCGGUUUCGUCUCCCUCAUGGUCAUGGAGGACAAUUCGCUGGGGCUCGCUGGUGUUGAGGAUUCCACUUCCAGUCUGCAUAUCUGGUCAAGGACGGUGAAGGGAGCUGCAAAAUGGGUACAAUGCAUGGUCAUUGACCUGGAGAAAGCCAUGCCCAUGGCCAAUCCCCGCGAAGGUCAUGGAGCAUAUGUGGUUGGUUUCGCAGAGGGUGUCGGUGUCAUCUUCGUCAGAACAGAUGCUGGCUUAUUCACGCUCGAGCUCAAGUCCGGGCUGGUGAAGAAAGUUGAUGAAUUUGGGGUCUACUUUUCCGUUUUACCCUACAUGAGCUUCUACACUCCUGACCGUGGUAGAUUGUCAUCGCUGGCAAGGCUCACUGAUGUCUGA